GACGAACGCUGGCGGCGUGCCUAAUACAUGCAAGUCGAACGAGAAUUUUUUACACCGAGUGCUUGCACUCACCGUAAGAAAUUCGAGUGGCGGACGGGUGAGUAACACGUGGGUAACCUGCCCAAAAGAAGGGGAUAACAUUUGGAAACAAAUGCUAAUACCGUAUAACCAUGAUGACCGCAUGGUCAUGAUGUGAAAGGUGGUUUUGCUAUCGCUUUUGGAUGGACCCGCGGCGUAUUAACUAGUUGGUAGGGUAACGGCCUACCAAGGUGAUGAUAAGUAGCCAAGUUGAUAGACUGAUCGGCCACAAUGUGACUGAGACACGGCCCAUACUCCUACGGGAGGCAGCAGUAGGGAAUCUUCCACAAUGGGCGCAAGCCUGAUGGAGCAACGCCGCGUGAAUGAAGAAGGUCUUCGGAUCGUAAAAUUCUGUUGUUAGAGAAGAAUAUGAGUAAUAGUAACUGAUUAUUCACUGACGGUAUCUAACCAGCAAGUCACGGCUAACUACGUGCCAGCCGCCGCGGUAACAC
rnacentral:rRNA from 1 species